UCCAGAUCCGACCCGGUUGAAGAUCGGGUCGGGUCUGAGUCGGGUUCGGGUUCGAAUCGGGUCCAUUUUGUUUGUGCUUUUGGGAAAAAAUUUUGGGCAAAUCUAAUUUGGCCAUAUCAUAAUUAUGAGGUGCUGGGUGACCCCUGACUUGAAAGACUUGCAAUUGACCUCCAGUCAUAACAGAUGACCCGUGACGAACUAAGUCCAUCCAUCUACAAGCCAAAUUUCAUAUCACACUAUUUUUUUAUCUAUAUGACUAAUUGGACGGAACUUGGUGUCUCCCAGCUCCCAUCUCAGGAGGGCAAAGAAAAUCCCAGCCGUGCGCCCAUUCUGAAAAUUCAGCAUCAAGCCGCCCACGCGCGUUCCGAUUUCAAGCCCCGUCUCCCCCUUCCGGAUUCAAGAACCCCCUCCUCCGCAUCUGCAGCUCCUCCGCCUUAGCCCGCGCCUCCUCCUCCAGCAUCCAAGUUCGUGGUCCCAGCUCCAGCCAUGAUCCAAGCAGCGGAUCCCCGCUUCCUUCCCAAGUCG
rnacentral:lncRNA from 1 species